AGCAGCGCGGAGCCCCACAGCGCUGUGAGCCGCUGGCCGUGCGCCGAGCCGGGGGCUGCCGGGGCUGCUCUCCCACUGACCCCCACCCCCAGGGACCCGGCUCAUUGCAAACAGAACCGGAGGAGCUGUUAAUGGCACGGGUUAACGAGCUGCGCGGGGCUGCUGGAUGCAGGGCAGAGCUGGGGCUGCUGCAGGUGGCAGCGAUCAAAAUCUGGCACCCCGUGGCACCCCGUGGCACAAACCUGGCACCCAGCACAGGGAUCUCAUGGCACAGACAUGCCACCUGGCACAGGGACCCUGUGGCACAAAACCUGGCACCCCAGGGCACCCCAGGGCACAGAUCUGGCAUUGCAUGGCACCCCAUGGCACUGAGAUACCAUGGCACUGCCCACGGCACUCCACGACGCCCCAUAGCACAGACUUGGCACCCCAUGGCACCCCACGGCACAGACCUGACACCUAGCACAGGGACCCCGUGGCACAAAACCUGGCACCCCAGGGCACCCCAGGGCACAGAUCUGGCACUGCAUGGCACCCCAUGCCACUGGGAUCCUAUGGCACUCCCCAUGGCACUCCAUGGCACCCCAUGGCACAGAUCUGGCAUUGCAUGGCACCCCAUGGCACUGAGAUACCAUGGCACUGCCCACGGCACUCCACGACGCCCCAUAGCACAGAUUUGGCACCCCAUGGCACAGACCUGACACCUAGCACGGGGACCCUGUGGCACAAAACCUGGCACCCCGUGGCACAGACUCGGCACCAACAGCAGCGCCAGGAGGGCCCAUUGCCACCGCUCCCCGACGCCGCAGCCUUGCGGUCGUCCCCUCCCGGCUCCCACUCUGUCAUCUCCGUCACCGGCACUGCCGCGAGCGGAGGGACCGAGCUCUCACCUCAUCAGUUUGGAGAGAGGGAGACACAGGCAUUUGCUUCCUUCCCCUCCCGCCCCACGGUGAGGCAAAGCCGCUAUUUUAAACCCAAAAAAAAGGACGCCGAGAGCCAACCGCGCUCCAAAACGAAAGCAGAUUCUGGGCCGGGAGCCAAGAGCCGGGGCCGGCGGCUGCCAGGGCCAAACAGAAAAUAAAAACAGGGCCCUCGUCCCGGGCUGCUUAAAG
rnacentral:lncRNA from 1 species